AGGACGAACGCUGGCGGCGUGCCUAACACAUGCAAGUCGAACGAGGUCCAUCCGGUAGCAAUACUGGUGAAGAUCAAGUGGCGAACGGGUGAGUAGCACGUGAGCAACCUGCCCCGAAGACUGGGACAACACCGGGAAACCGGUGCUAAUACCGGAUAUCCCCACCGAGUCGCAUGGUUUGGUGAGGAAAUGUUUUUCGCUUUGGGAGGGGCUCGCGGCCUAUCAGCUUGUUGGUGAGGUAACGGCUCACCAAGGCUUCGACGGGUAGCUGGUCUGAGAGGACGAUCAGCCACACUGGGACUGAGACACGGCCCAGACUCCUACGGGAGGCAGCAGUGGGGAAUCUUGCACAAUGGGCGAAAGCCUGAUGCAGCAACGCCGCGUGAGGGACGAAGGCUUUCUGAGUUGUAAACCUCUUUCAGCAGGGACGAUUGUGACGGUACCUGCAGAAGAAGCCCGGCAACUACGUGCCAGCAGCCGCGGUAAU
rnacentral:rRNA from 1 species